UACGUAGGGGGCAAGCGUUGUCCGGAUUUAUUGGGCGUAAAGAGCGUGUAGGCGGCCAAGCAGGUCCGCUGUGAAAACUCGAGGCUCAACCUCGAGACGUCGGUGGAAACCGUUUGGCUAGAGUCCGGAAGAGGAGAGUGGAAUUCCCGGUGUAGCGGUGAAAUGCGCAGAUAUCGGGAAGAACACCCGUGGCGAAGGCGGCUCUCUGGGACGGUACUGACGCUGAGGAGCGAAAGUGUGGGGAGCGAACAGG
rnacentral:rRNA from 1 species